UACGAAGGGGCGAGCGUUGUUCGGAAUUACUGGCGUAAAGGGCGCGCAGGCGGCCUUUCAAGUCAGAUGUGAAAGCCCGGGCUCAACCUGGGAAUGGCAUUUGGACUGGAAGGCUCGAGAUCGGGAGAGGAGGUGGAAUUCCCAGUGGUAGAGGUGAAAUUCGUAGAUAUUGGGAAGAACACCGGUGGCGAAGGCGGCUCUCGUGGACCGAUACUGACGCUGAGGCGCGAAAGCGUGGGAGCAACAGG
rnacentral:rRNA from 1 species